GCCAUGAAGGAUUAUGAAAUAGGAUGAAUUCGGGAUUUACCCCCCAGCAGGACCAAAAGGGACAUCGUAGAGUUACUGCUGGAGCCGAAUCCUUUCAGAUUUUGGGGUAUCAGAGAUUCAGAUCCCAGCUCUUUGGGUGAGGGAGGGCUUUGGGAACAGGCAGCAUCCCAAAAGGUGCCGCUGGUUUCUCCCACGUGGCGCAGGGCAGGCAGAAGAAGGGCACGGGAGGGAAGACAAAAACUCCCCAGCUCCGAAGGCUCUUGCACUGCUGCUUCCCCCACCUCCUCCUCUUUAGGGGGGCUGCCAGGGGGGAGGCAGAGCAACAGGAAACUCUCAGCCAGCUGUGAUUUUUCACCAGAAUCCGAGAAACCGCCUGGAAGCGGCAGCUGCGCUCAAUAAAGCUGGGUCAUUAAAAUGACACAGCAGCUCCACGGGGAAGGGGAGCCAACGGCACCAGGAGGGGAAAGCCUCUUGUCUGAAGUGACUGGGGACAGAGCAGAAAAGAAAAAGGCCCUUGGAAAGCCUGAGGAGGGAGAAGGAAAAUAAUCCUCAGCUCCCUGGCCACGUGCCCAGCCGCCGCCGAACGCCACAUCAGCAGCGAGCUGCAGGAUGACCUCGAUGAGGAACAGAUCAUCCCCUGGCCUGCCGCCACCUCCCUGCCUGCGGGGACACCGGGACCUUUUUAAAUAAAUAAAUAUUUUUUUUUAAA